CCUACGGGUGGCAGCAGUGGGGAAUAUUGGACAAUGGGCGCAAGCCUGAUCCAGCAAUGCCGCGUGUGUGAAGAAGGCCUGCGGGUUGUAAAGCACUUUCAGCAGGAAAGAAGGGGUGAAAGUUAAUACCUUUCAUCAUUGACGUUACCUGCAGAAUAAGCACCGGCUAACUCCGUGCCAGCAGCCGCGGUAAUACGGAGGGUGCUAGCGUUACGCGGAAUUACUGGAGGUAGUGUGCGCGUAGGCGCGUGAAAGCCCUGGGCUUAACCUGGGAACUGCGGUGGAUACUGGCGGGCUAGAGUGUGGUAGAGGGGAGUGGAAUUUCCGGUGUAGCAGUGAAAUGCGUAGAGAUCGGAAGGAACACCAGUGGCGAAGGCGGCUCCCUGGACUAACACUGACGCUGAGGUGCGAAAGCGUGGGGAGCAAACAGGAUUAGAUACCCCUGUAGUC
rnacentral:rRNA from 1 species